UCUUUACUUGGUUUCAGGUAUGAAAAUGCACAUGGCUGUGUCUCUUCUGCUUUUAUAUUCAUGCUUAAAUAAAUCAAGUUUGAGGUUAUAUGACCAAAAUGAUUGGAAGAUGCCUACAUAUGAAUUUCCGAUGUAACCAGACCAAACAGUUGAUUUUAUAAUGCCAUUAUUUCGGGUUCAAAACUCUUUCAAAUGAGAAACUACCAUCUUCUUGGAAACCUUUUCAUUGAAACUCUUGGCUGCAGUUGAUAGAUUAUUUUUUGAUUCCACGGCAUUUGCUUUUUCCACGAAAAAGUCUCUCCUAGUCACAAAACUGUAGCUUGAAGUGGACAUCUAAAUGGUAAUCUUGUUAACAAAUCUCAUUUUAUGCUUGACUUCACAUAUAAAACCACCUGCACAUGCAGUCUUCCUCCAAGCAAUUUGUGAUGCAGCCUUUGCUAAAGAAUAGCACGAUUUCAACCUUGCAAAGGACUAAUACACCACAUGAGAAGAGGUCACCUUAUAUCAAGAACCUUUGAGAGUUUUAACACAUGGAGCAAACGACAAAUGCCAAUGGCAAGUACUUCAAAAUGCCUUCUAUACUGACAUAGCUCAUCUUGCCCUUAUCUAAACCUCGUGGGUGGUUUGGGGACUUCCUCCGAAUUUCAUCAANNNNNNNNNNNNNNNNNNNNNNNNNNNNNNNNNNNNNNNNNNNNNNNNNNNNNNNNNNNNNNNNNNNNNNNNNNNNNNNNNNNNNNNNNNNNNNNNNNNNGAUUAUACUAUCAAAGUGAUUGCAAAAUGGCCAAUACGUGAACUUCCCAAAAUCCAAGAGCUGAUUGUACACUAACAAACACUUUUAUGUUGCGCUCAAAAUUCUUCCGAGUGAAAAACUACUGUCUUUUGGGAACCUUUUUACUGAAAAUCUUGCCUGCAAUUGACAGAUUAUUUGCUGAUUCCAUGAUAUUCACUUUUUACAUUAAAUAAGUCUCUCACAUUCACAAAAUUGUAGCUAGAAGUGGACAUCUAAAACGGUAAUCUUGUUGACAAACAUGACUUUAUGCUUAACUUCACAUCCAAAACCACCUGUACAUGCAGUCUUCCUGCAAGCAUUUUGAAAUUCUACCUUUGCUAAAUAAUAGCAUGAUGUCAAAGUUUGCAAAGGACUACUUCACCGCAUUAGAAGAGGUCCCUUUAUAUCAAGAAUCCUAUCAAGAUUAUCAGCAUAGAGCACAUUAUAAACACCUUUAGUGAAGAACUUCAGAACACCUUUCCAUAACGUCUCAUGACAUAUCUCAUUUCGGUCCACAUCUCUGUCCUGUGAUGCUCGGGAAUGUUCUCUGAAUUUUAUGAAAUGCAACUUGAAUCUACACAAGAAGGAUUAUUUACUAAUUAUCAAUAAAUGGGGAUAUUUGAGAUCGGAGCAUCACAAUUUACAUCAUGAAAGAUAAGGUACAAAUGCACAAACAUCAUUUGCACCAAUUGCAGUUGGACUGUAAUGAACAGAGACUUCAUGAGCUGGCCGAUGAAAACAUAAACAAUAGGCUUGGAAGAAGUAACAAUUAGCAACACUUUACUUGUUUGUGUUUAGGAACAUAAUUGAUGUCAAUAAAAAUAUGCUGAAAGGUGAAGUGCUUAAACUACAUAAUAGAAAGAUAAACUUAUUAUUUGGUUAUUUUGCAAUAUCCUGUUAGCAAAAUCAGCAAAACAGGAUAGUUUGCUAGGAGGUGAAUUUUAACUUUACAAAGUCAACGUCACAUGAGAACUGACCUUAUCAAAUUAAAAAAAAGUCAGAAACCUAUAUGACAACAUUCAAAGGAUAGUAUCACAUUGAUGAACUGAUAGAUUGUCCUCAUGCAUACUUGCAUACUUUUUCAGGUGCAAUUCCAUAGCUCAUAUAGUAUGAGCAAACAAGUUAUUUUUCCAUUGUUAUGGUAUGACUAGUAGUGCAUACCUCCCUCUGCAGAGCCUUAUCGAGUUCCAGAAUGAUAACAUUAGAAUGCAACGGCAUUAAACAAACAUUUCUACAUCAGGGUGACAUACAAAAAAAAAUCAGCAGCUACAUAUUGGAUUAACAAAGAGGUUGAACCUCAUGAACAUACAAAACAGACUCAACUCAAAAUACAACAUCAACAUCAUUCGAGUAUGUGCUGUCGAGACCAGAUAAAGUGUACUAGAUCCUCACAAGCAUAAAAAUUUCCCCAAGUAACAUAGAGAAUCUCAAGCGAAGACAAGUCACCGAUUUCACUUGGAAUUGCUCUUUCAGAUAACAGCAUGAUGGGAAACUUAUAGUGCACCAAUUUUUCAACCUUCCUAUAGCACUUGGAAGCUUUUCAAUACCAAAACCACUAAUGUCUAGAUGUUGCAAAUUCUGUAAAUCUCAAGUUGAGCUAGUGAUAUCUGUGAGCAACUUACAACAGCUGGCGCUUGGUUUCUCCAGCUUCCUCAAAGAACCUAUAGAUGUAGGAAUCUCAGUAACAUCAACAAAAUCUAAUAUAAGUUCUAAUUUGACAGAUUCACCUCCUUUCAGUUCUAACUCACAUACCCAUCCGCUCUUGGUCUAGUCUGUUGCCACAUUCUUCUUCCACGAUCCCAAAUCUCCUGUGGAUCCUAAGAUUGCCACACUCUCCCCAAUUUCAACUUGGCGAUCCAACCGAACGCUGAGAUGCACCUUCUCUCGUCCCAGCAACGAUCUGAUCUUCUUUGCUUUCUUCUCCUCUUCUCUGCAAUGAACACAUUAUUUCAUAGCUUCUACCAAUAGCCUCCUUCCUUGUCUAAACAACUUAAACAACAAUUUUCACUUGAACCACCGAUUCAUUGUUUGUCAUUUAACACCACAUUCAAAGAGAAACCUCAAAUCAAGACGGUGUCAAAUAAUCCGUAACGCUAGCUUUUAUUGCAAGAAGAAGAAGAACUUGAAAGAAAAACAGAAUUACUCUUUUUUCCGUACCGAUUCUUGUUCAAGUAAUAAACCCCACAUAAACUCCAUCCGCAAUAGAGACUCAGACAGACCUUUGAUCGAGAAUUCCAUAAAACAACUCAAUACUUCACUCCAAACCCCAGUGCUUGAUCAGACUGACAUAAGUGCACUCGAACAAAUCCACAUAGAGAGAGAGAGAGAGAGAGAGAGAGAGAAAUACCUAGUUUCAGUGGUGAAAACACCACGAACAACCAUGAAGGAGCGACUCCAAGCUGCAUGAGCUCCAUGCAUCCACAUGAGAGAAUCUCGAAGGGGAGAAGUAAUGCUGCUCUUCAAGAAAAAACUGGUCUCUUUACUUGGUUUCAGGUAUGAAAAUGCACAUGGCUGUGUCUCUUCUGCUUUUAUAUUCAUGCUUAAAUAAAUCAAGUUUGAGGUUAUAUGACCAAAAUGAUUGGAAGAUGCCUACAUAUGAAUUUCCGAUGUAACCAGACCAAACAGUUGAUUUUAUAAUGCCAUUAUUUCGGGUUCAAAACUCUUUCAAAUGAGAAACUACCAUCUUCUUGGAAACCUUUUCAUUGAAACUCUUGGCUGCAGUUGAUAGAUUAUUUUUUGAUUCCACGGCAUUUGCUUUUUCCACGAAAAAGUCUCUCCUAGUCACAAAACUGUAGCUUGAAGUGGACAUCUAAAUGGUAAUCUUGUUAACAAAUCUCAUUUUAUGCUUGACUUCACAUAUAAAACCACCUGCACAUGCAGUCUUCCUCCAAGCAAUUUGUGAUGCAGCCUUUGCUAAAGAAUAGCACGAUUUCAACCUUGCAAAGGACUAAUACACCACAUGAGAAGAGGUCACCUUAUAUCAAGAACCUUUGAAGAGUUUUAACAACAUGGAGCAAACGACAAAUGCCAAUGGCAAAGUACUUCAAAAUGCCUUUCUAUACUGACAUAGCUCAUUCUUGCCCUUAUCUAAACCUCGUGGUGUUUGGGGACUUCCUCCGAAUUUCAUCAAAUGCAACUUUAAUCUGCACAAGGAAGAUAUCACUGAGUAAUCAUCAAUAAAUGAUGAUGUCCAAGAUCGUAGCAUCAGAAUUUACCUCAUGAGAGAUUAAGGGACAAAUGCAUAAACAUCAACACCAAUCAGAGUUGGACCACAAUGAAAGGAGACUUCAUUAGCUGGCCGAUGAAAAAGAAACACACGGGCUUAAAAGAAGUAAGCAAUUAGCAACACUUUCUCUGUUUGUGUUUAGGAACAGAAUUGAAAUUAAUAAAAUUAUGCUGAAAAGGUGAAGUGCCUAAACUAUAGAAUAGAAAGAUGCAUUUCCUACUUGGUUAUUUUGCAAGAUCCAAUUAGCAAAAUUAGCAAUACUGGAUCGUUUGCAAAGAGGUCAAUUUCAACUUUACAAACCCAAUGCUGCAUACAUGAGAACUGAGCUUGUCAAACCUAUAUAUCAUCACACAAAUAAACGGAUGGAAAUGGAGGAGCCUAGCAAUGCAUACCUCCCUCUACAUAGCAUCAUCAAUUCCAGAGUGAUAUCAUUAGACUGCAACCGCAUCGAACAACUCUGCAUCAGGGUAACAUACAAAAAAUCAUCAACUUAGUUUUUGAUUAAAGGAGAGCUAGAACCUAAUGAGCAUACAUAAAGCAUAUUUAAUUGAAAAAAAAUACAUUUACAAUCAAUAGGGAUGUGACAUUGAGAUCAGAUCAAGUGUUUUGGAUCUUCACGAGUAUCAAAACUUCCUUAGGACACUCUAGUCGGCCCCAAAGCCUCUUCAAGUUUGGCACGCAAGAUGGUCCUCAGCUGUUGCUGAUGCUUCCUCUGUAAAAUCCCUUAUCUUUAUUUUGAUUAGUCUCAAGUAUGGAAUUUGAAGUUCUUCAGCCAAGUGAGCCACACCCAAAUCAGUCAUGUAAUAAAGCAAUUCCAUGGCAACAAUAGGAUCAAAUGGAAUGCAAACUAAUUAGCAAAUUCUUGAGCUCCUCAUCCUAGCUUGUUUCACGACGGGCAAAACAUUGUUCAUUAAUGCAAAAGUCAUCGAUACAAUUAAUCAAACUGAAGUCCCAAAGUAAGCCUUGAUCAUUACACAGACCAACCAAACCUGUGCACCAAUUUACCUUGCUUGAUAAUAUUCAAAACAAUAGUUUGACUACUAGUAAUGUUAAGGUGGCGUACAUUCAUAUAUGAUAGACUAGCCAAAACUACUUUAACAUUAUUAUUUUUUUAUCACAAACCAAAAACACUAAUUUCUUCAAACAUCGUGAUCCUGGACAGAGAAGCCUUUUAAUGGAAUUGCAGUCAUAUAUAAAUAAGACCUCCAAGAAUGCCAAAUCAUCACGGCCCUGAAUUUCAACUAGGCCAUGGCAAUGCUCAGUAUGUAAUCAUUUCAAACGAAUCAAUCGUGAAAGGUCCAAUCUUCAAAUGGAACUGCACUUUUCUAUUGAAAAUCUCGAGGGAAGGCAAGUCACUGAUUUCACUUUUCAGACUACAUCACGAUGAGAGAUGUAGAGUCUGCAGAUUUUUCAACCUUCCAAUAGCACUGGAAAGCUUUUCGAUUGCAAAAUAACUCAUCGAGCUAGGGAUUUCUCUCAGAGACUCACAGCCAUAAGCGCUCGAUUUCUUCAACUUCCUCAGAGAACCAAGAGACGUGCUCAUGGUCAUCAAGAGAGAAAAAUCCUGCGAAAGAAAAAUCCUUUCCAUCCGAGAAAGUGGAGAGAGAGAGAGAUAUUGAGGAAGUCGCAUUUCUAUCGACCGUAGUGGGAUGUGCACGUGCUCGAGGUUCGGGGCGUGACAAUGACGAUCCAAACUCUUAACCAAAACUAGAUGUACGUAGCCAAAUCCAGACCUCGUAUGCUCGAUCACGCUUCGCCCCCGCACAAAGUGGACAAGGCGAAGAAGUUGGCGAUGAAAGCAUCGCGGUGGAAUGACCCGGAGAAGAAGAGGAAGAGGAGGGUGGCCAGAUACAAGCUUUAUUCGGUCGAAGGCAAGUUCAAGGCUUCUUUCAAACAAGGGUUCCGAUGGUUGAAGCGCAAAUGCUCAACCUUCGCACGUCGAUUCUAAUUAGCAGGAAUUGCGGAAUACCGUGUCCAUCGUCAUCAAGAGAGAAAAAGGGUGAGAAAGAGGAAACAGAGAGAUUUGCUGUGCUUUUUUUGGGUGUUCAUCUUUAUAUGUAUCUAAUGGUAAUCAAAUAUUCAGAAGGGUGCCGCAAAUGUUCAAUCUUUCCGAUAUCAUGUUCAUCUGACUCAUUGUUUCAUUCAUCGAUCUUCAGCAUUCAAAACAUAGGCAAAUAAGACAACUCGUACGUGAUAGUAAUAUAUAUUUAUAUUUGCCGAUUUUUCUUUUUCCUUUUUGAAUUUUCUUACCUUCUAAUACAUUUGUAACAGGAUUCUGCAUCCAUGCCCAUGCAAAGUAGAAUUGUCUGAUUUGUUCAAUUCUCCUAUUUUCUGUAAGCUCUUUUCCUAAUAUAUGUGAUGCUGAUUGCAAAACCAGAUGAAUACUUGUAUUUGUAGGAUUGACGUUACCAUCUAUUUUGUGGUCGAUUUUGUUGGGGACGAUUUUGUUUUGGCCAAAUGUUGUUUACACCUUAUUUAUGGGGUUCUUUAACCCCCUAAUUUCCUCAAAUUGUCUAGUUUGAUUCCUCUUCGUUGUACGAUUCAUCAUAUGGCAACAUAUAUUGCUGAAUUAGAUAUUCUAGAAUCACAUGCGCCGGUGCUAAACAAAACGAAAGGCUUUUGAUGGUUCCAUUUUGAUUUGAGGACAAUUUUCAUAUUUCGAAUGCCGUCCGUUGAGACCGGAGUUACGAAAAUGUGGAAAACUGAAAAGCCCAAAGGGAACCCUCUUUAAUUCUAUCAAAACUUGCGUAGUUAUUGUUCAAAUGGUCGUAAUUUAUAGGAUCUUGAUGUAUAAUGUGAUAGAACUUUCAAAAACAAGGUCAAAGCAAAUCUCUGGCAUGAAAUCGAAGGAGAAGGAGAGUAUGAAAACCCAUGAGCAGAACCGAACCGGUUCACCAGGUUUAACGCCUUCAUCCAAUUAUCCGGUCGAUUCACAAUUUUCAAAUUUUAAAUCAAUUCAACCGAUAAGGUUGUGACUAAAAUUCUAAAAGUAGUCAAAACACAUAACCAUUGCCCUUUGGAAUAAUGGCUUAGACACUGGUUAAGCAACUUGGUAAAUAAGGUGUAGACUCAAAAUAUCGACUUUACUUGUGAUUUUUCUUGUGAAACGUUCAAUCAAUAUUCUGAAAAUUUAAUUAUUUCACAUUAAGUAUGUUUAACAAGUAUUUCAACACGCCCCACACUAUAUUUGUGUUAGUAAUUAUAGAUUCGAACUUGGCUUAAAAAGCUACUUGGCCUUACAAGCUACUUGGCCUUGUAUUGAGCUCUGGAAAAAUUGAGUAUAAGUUCAAGUAGACAAGCAGCGAAUCAGACAGAGUACCUUGCCAGUAGCUUUCAGCCUUUCAACUACUAAAAUUCCACCAUUGUCAUCUAGUACAAGGGUACAGGAAUAUCAAAGAGUGACCUCAAAGAAAUUGCUUCGAUUAAGGCUUCAAUGCGUGACUGGUUAACACAAUUUGGUUUAGUAGAGUGUGAUUAUUAACCAAUAAGAUGACCCUUAUAAAGUUUUUUGUUCAAAUCAAAUGAGUAAAUUUUGGGAAUGGCCUUUUCACCCUUCCAAAAAUUUCCCACAUUUUUCAAUAGUCUUCAAUCGUAGCCUACGCCAGAGAAAAAUAGGUUUCAGAUAUGAAAAUGUACAUGGAUGUGGCUCUUCUACUUUUAGAUUCAUGCUUAAAUAAAUCAAGUUUGAGAUUAUACGAUCAAAACGAUUGCAAAAUGCCUACAUAUGAUUUUUCAAUGUAACCAGACUAGAAAUGAUUUUACACUGACGAGCGCUUUAUUUCAUGUUCAAAAUUCUUUCAAAUGAGAAAACUACUUUCUUGGAAACAUUAUCAUUGAAACUCUUGCCUGCAAUUGACAAAUUAUUUGCUAAUUCCAUGGCAUUCGCUUUUUCCACGAAAAGAAUCUCUCCGCCACAACAUGGACAUCUAACUGGUAAUCUUGUUAGCAAAUCUCAUUUUAUGCUUAACCUGCAAAUGCAUUCUUACAGCAAGCACUUUGUGAUUCGGCCUUUGCUAAAGAUUAGCACGAUGUGAAAGCUCGCCAAGGCCUAAUGCACCAUAUGAGAAGAGGUCGCCUCACAUCCAGAAUCCUUUGAAGAGUACUAACAACACAAACGCCAACAGGAAAGAACUUGAGGAUGACUUUCCAUAAUGACAAAGCUCAUUCUUGCUCGCAUCUCCAUCCCAUGGUGUUUGGGGACUUUCUCUGAGUUAAAUGAAUUGCAGCUUGAAUCUACACAAGACGAAUAGCACUGACUAUAAUCAUCAGUAAUGAAAAUAACCAAGAUACGUAGCAUCACAAUUUACCCCAUCAAAGAUAAGGUACAAAUGCAUAAACAUCAUUUCCACCAGUUGGACCACAAUGAACAGACGCUUCAUUAGCUGGCUGAUGAAAUAGAAAAGAACAGACUUGGAGAAGUAAGCAAUUAACAAUACUUCCCUUGUUUGUGUUUAGAAACAAAAUUGAUGCUAACGGAAUGAUGUUGAAAUGGUGUGAGUGCCUAAACUACUGAACAGGGAGAUGUAUUUGUUACUUGGGUAUUUCACAAUAUCCUAUCAGCAAAAUCAGCAAUAGCGGAUAGUUUGCAAGGAGGUCAAUUUCAACUUUACAAAUCCAAUGCCACAUACACAUGAGAGGUGAGCCUAUCAAAUGAGAAACCUACAUGAGAAUAUUUACGAGAUAUUAUCACACUAAUAAACUGAUAGAAAUGAAGGAGAUUGUCAUCAUGCAUACUUGCCUACUAAUUUCAAGUGAAAUUACAUAGCUCAUAUAAUCUAAGCACACAAGUAAGUCUUUCAUGGUACAACUAGCACUGCAUACCUCUCCCUUCAGAGCCUCAGCGAGUUGAGGAGUGAUAUAUUUAGAAUGCAACUUUAUCAAACAACUCUGCAACAUGGUAACAUACAAAAAGUCAGCAGCUAUGUGUUAGAUUAACAGAGAGAUAGAACCUAAUGAGCAUACAGAAAGCAUAGUUAAUUGAAAAAAAUACAUUUACAAUCGUUCAGGUACGUACUGUUGAGACAUGAUCAAGUGUUCGAAUAUUCACGAGCAUCAAAACUUCCUCAAGACACUCCAGUUGGCCCCAGAGCAUCUUUAAGGUUGGCAUAGAAAAUGGUCCUCAGCUGUUGUUAUGGAAUUUGAAGUUCCUCAGCCAAGUUAGAACUAGUAAUCAUGUUAACAAAUCUCAUUUUAUGUUUCAAUUCACAUAUAGAACCACCUGCACAUGCAGUCUUCCUGAAAGUGAUUUGUCAUUCAGCCUUUGCCAAAGGUUGCACAGGACUAAAACACCACAUGAGAAGAGGUCGCUUUAUAUCAAGAAUCCUUUGAAGAGUAUUAACAACACAGAGCACAUGAUAAACGCCAUUAACAAGGAAUUUGAGGAUGCAUUUCCAUAAG
rnacentral:lncRNA from 1 species